AACGAACGCUGGCGGCAGGCUUAACACAUGCAAGUCGAGCGCCCCGCAAGGGGAGCGGCAGACGGGUGAGUAACGCGUGGGAAUCUACCGUGCCCUACGGAAUAGCUCCGGGAAACUGGAAUUAAUACCGUAUACGCCCUACGGGGGAAAGAUUUAUCGGGGUAUGAUGAGCCCGCGUUGGAUUAGCUAGUUGGUGGGGUAAAGGCCUACCAAGGCGACGAUCCAUAGCUGGUCUGAGAGGAUGAGCAGCCACAUUGGGACUGGGACACGGCGCAGACUCCUACGGGAGGCAGCAGUGGCGAAUAUUGGACAAUGGGCGCAAGCCUGAUCCAGCCAUGCCGCGUGAGUGAUGAAGGUCUUAGGAUUGUAAAGCUCUUUCACCGGUGAAGAUAAUGACGGUAACCGGAGAAGAAGCCCCGGCUAACUUCGUGCCAGCCGCCGCAGUAA
rnacentral:rRNA from 1 species